rnacentral:rRNA from 1 species
AGUAAUGUCUGGGAAACGGCCUGAUGGAGGGGGAUAACUACUGGAAACGGUAGCUAAUACCGCAUAACGUCGCAAGACCAAAGUGGGGGGACCUUCGGGCCUCAUGCCAUCAGAUGUGCCCAGAUGGGAUUAGCUAGUAGGUGGGGUAACGGCUCACCUAGGCGACGAUCCCUAGCUGGUCUGAGAGGAUGACCAGCCACACUGGAACUGAGACACGGUCCAG